rnacentral:misc_RNA from 1 species
CUGUAUACAGCAUCACAUGCGCGCACACCACAGGAGACGACAGCGUUCUCUUCUCCGCCCUCUCCGUUCGCUGCUUCGUACCCGGAUACGCUUCUACCCUUCUCUCCUUCUUCGCUCUUCCUUACCGUCCCCCUUCGCUUUGGGAUUCUCCGACCCCCGCCAGGACCUCCUCCUCCCCCCUCCACACACACCCACGCCCACCUCUCUUCCUCCUCCGCUCCUUCUGCUGAGCCUGUACACCCCUUUUCAUUUUGUGUUUUUCUAUCGCGCUGUUCGCCACCGUUGCUCUGUCCUUUUCCGUCUUUUCCAUCUUUCCUGUUUUUUUAUUUGUGUCUUGUGCCUCUGUGCACCUCCCUGUCUUUCCGUCUAUCUCGCCGGCACCCCCUUUGGGGGCAGGGACGUGCACGCACGCGCAGACAUCGCUGGAGCCGCUUUCCAUAGAGUCGAAAACGCUAGCAGACGGAAAGCGAACUCGAAGUCAAGGAUUUUACCCCGCGCGAGAAAAUGCCGAAGUCAUCGCCGCCAGAUGAGCAUAAGGUUCUCAUCAAGAAGCUCACGCAUGCUUGCGCCAGCUACGACUCCGCGGCGAGGAAGUACCUCGCCGCCGUAAAGGCGUUGGACUCCUCCUUGGAGGCGGUGGCCGUCGCCAUCCGUGAACUCUCGCAGGGGGAGGAGAAUGAGGACGCUGUCAUCAGCGUCGAAAGGUUCUGCACGUCAGUGGAUCGGCACAUGGCCGGCUCCUCUGCUGGUGCAUCAUCUGGCCACAGCAAGACAGGGCGGCUUUCCGAUUCGGCCGCAUUCAACGGCGCCGAAUACCCCUUCGCUGCUUACAUGAGCGAUUUCACGCGCGAGAUUUCCUCGGCCGUCGGAGAGCUUAAGGAGAUCCUCAAAAAAAUCGAGAAGUCUAGGUCAAAGCAGGAUGACCUCGUCGACAAGUACAACAAAAAACGCAGCGAAUUGGACACGAUGGAGAUGAAGUUAGCCAAGAAGAAUCAGGGCAUUUCGACCAACGAGAAGUACUCCCACAAGCUGGCCGAUCGCGAUUCCUUGAAGGUGCAGGUGGAAACCGGUGAAAGAGAACUCAGAGCCGAGUUCAUGGCACUGCUGCAGAGGCGCACUCAAACCCUCUUGCAAGUCGUCCGUGGAAUGCAAACGCACUCUUCAAAUUACUACUCGCAUCUAUCCAAGGCAAUGCAGGCUUGAGGAGGGACGCGAGCUGCAGCAGCAGCUCCCGCAGCACAUGAUAUAUUGUGGUUCGUGAUAGACGCACUGUGAUACGCGCGCACCGAUGCCCCCUCCCCCUUCCAUGUGUGUAGACGCAUAUGUGGAUUUGCCGUAAUAGCGCGUCAGCUCUAUCCACGAAGCGGAUCAACACGCCCCCCGAAGAGGAGAGCGAACACACACAUAUAUAUGCACGGUCGGCCACGAGUCUUAUCAACACGAAAUGUCGGGUGGCACAAUAGUUGUAGUAGGACACACACACACACACACACUAAAACUAACAGCACCGACAUGAAAGUGUGACUUCGACUCACAUCGCUGGAGUCUUCCCGCUGCGUCUUUGCGUUUGCCUGUAUUCGGCUCGCUUGAUUACAUUGUUCUUUUUUCCAUACACAUACACACACGCACGCCAUCCUCCUUUUUUUGGGCUGGCUCUCUGCCUUUCGCUUGCUUAUGGCCGUUUCUUCGCAUGUUUGCUUUCUCAUCGCCUGCCGACUUUCUCCCUGAUCUCUAUCGCACUCUCCCUCCCUCUCUUUGGUGUGCCUCUGUCUGUGCGUCUGUGGGUUCCAG